UACGUAGGGGGCUAGCGUUGUCCGGAAUCAUUGGGCGUAAAGCGCGCGUAGGCGGUCCGGUAAGUCCGCUGUGAAAGUCGGGGGCUCAACCCUCGGAUGCCGGUGGAUACUGUCGGGCUUGAGUGCGGAAGAGGCGAGUGGAAUUCCUGGUGUAGCGGUGAAAUGCGCAGAUAUCAGGAGGAACACCAAUGGCGAAGGCAGCACUCUGGGACGUGACUGACGCUGAGACGCGAAAGCGUGGGGAGCAAACAGG
rnacentral:rRNA from 1 species